CAGCGUCAACAUUAUGCUCAGGCUUGCAGAUCAGACACUAAGUUUCCCAAAGGGAAUAUUGAAGAACCUCUACGUCCGAGUUGGUACCUUAUACGCUCCAGCAGACUUCGUGGUGAUAGAGACUGAUACUGAUGAGAGGGCACCCAUCAUCCUAGGGAGGCCAUUCCUGAACACCUCGGGAGCUGACAUCUACGCUAGUGCUGCCAAGAUCAGUUUCUACAUCAAGGGGAAGAAGGAGACGUUUUCCUUCAAAAACAAGACUACACAAAUCCCAGAGCAAUCCCGACAUGAACCAAGGAAGAGGACCAACAGGAGGAACAGGAACAAGCAAAUGUGUACCGAGUCAGCUAAGAUGGUCACUGCAGCUCAAGGAGGUCAAGAUCGUCAACUCAAGUCGCCUUUCUUGAUCAAGAAGGACGACCCUGGUGUUCCAAGCAUCGAGUGCACAAUCAACGGAUAUUCUUUUCAAAAGAUGCUUUGCGACACCGGAUCUAACGUCAACAUAAUGGCCGCAGUCACUUAUCAGCUCCUGCAUGGAACCAUGUCCCUACAACCAACAUACAUUCAGCUCCAGAUGAUUUUAAGGUUAUUGACAUGGGAGAAGACGAGUACGAUCCACCCAUCAUCCUUGGAAGACCAUUUUUUUAGCACCAUUAAAGCAAUCAUAUACAUUGGAACUAGAGAAGUCCACAUGCACUUCCCCUGAGAGAAGGUACGCCACUGUUUUACUGACCCUAACUAUAUAGUUGAAGACUCUAAGCAUGUCAGGACAAGGAGAUGACGCAAUCACAACCAGAGGAGGCAAAUUAUCAAGGACGGAUGGGUAGACUAUGAAGGAGAAGUUGUAAGGUCUGAAGACAUACAGCUUGAACAGAACUAUCCUGAGGAGAUCGUAGCAACGAGGCAGGUGUGGAGAGAGAAGAUAGUUAUACACGAAGAGCAGACACCGCCGGAACCACCGACUACGCCAUCCAGCGAAUCCCAGGACGACUAAGAAAAUGGAGAGUCCCGUUCGGAGGACUUAAAAACACCGAACGCCUUGCCAAGACGUAAACUUGGUAGUUAUCUUUUUCCUUUCAAUUAUUUUAAAAUAGUUUGCUUAGUUAAUCAUGUUUAUAUCAUCUUGAAAAGAAAAUAAAAAUGUUAAAAAUAGUAAGCCCCAUGUGAGUAUGUUCAUGGCAUAAAACCCAUAAGUACAUUCACUGUGGUGGCGUAAAAAUGAAAUAAAUAUAUUCUUGUCCUAUAAAAAAAUAAAAUUAUAAAAAUAAAUUUAUGAUCCUACUACAGAGAGUAAUAUUUAUUGAGGAGGCUCCACAUGAUAAAGGCUAGAUAUUUAUGCUAACACUUAACUAGUUCCACAAAGCUUUGUUGUCUAUUUGAGCUCCACAGAAUUCAAGGAUCAAAGAAGACUAGCAGACGGAGGACAUCCUAAUCGCUGUCAGGGUGCUGCUGACAUUCAAAUACACCUCCACCACUUGCUAGCUACAUUAGAAGAAACUACGUCAAAAUCCAGCUUGGGGGAGAGCACCCCUAUUUAUCCAGCUAAGUAUUCUACUCACGUUUAUACUUUACUCUAAUAAUAAAAUGAUGCAUAAUCAUAGAAACCCAAAUAAAGAUUUUGUGCUUAUAUAUAUCUUUGCUUGGUUUGCUAAAUAAAUAAAUAAAUAAAGUCUGCUAUGAACCAUCAUGAUAAGCUCUCACAUGGAAAUGAUGAAUAGUUGCUCUGCCAUGACUAGUUCUCAAAAUUGAAAUCUCUCUCUCUAGUUUAGGCUUGGCUGUUAUUAAUUUGUUCUAAACCUGAACUUGUGGGAAGAGUACUUGAUCUGAAGUCUAAGUCGUUAACGGAUAUGAUAUGGGAAGGUUGAGCUGCUGUUUAUCUGUUCCUAGAGAUGCUAGAAUUCUGGAGAAUUUUAUCUUUGAAAAUCUUUAAAAUGUUGCAUGAUGAGUUCCUGUAUGAUGAGAGUUUAAAUUCCUACCACAGCCAUAUAUACAUGCUUGUUAGACUAUGAACCACACAUUUACUUUUUACUGCUUAUGAGCAUUGAGUGUGGUCAAGCUGUGUAGACCCUUAGGAGCUUGUCAUGUGGUUAAAUCAAGAUUCACUUGCACGUUCACUCACACAUACAACUUCUACUCUGGAAGUAUGCAUCCACAUAUAUCCAUCUAUUUCCAUCUCUAGAACCACCCAAAAAUAUUAUACUCCUAAUCCGGGAGAGAAUAGCCAAAAACAUUCUCCUAUUCCUGUUUUUCCCUGUGAAAUAAAUGCUCAAGAUAUUUUGGUUACUACCACUUGCUACACUAGUCUAGGAGGAUGAGUGCUCUGAAAAAAAAGUGAAUACGAGGAAAUAAAAAGGGGCAAGUGCCCGGAACCUCGAAAGAAAAGAAAAAAAAGUGAGACGAGAGGUAAAAAUGGACAAGUGUCCGACAGUAGAAUUAGGGGUACAAGAUACCCACCUGAGAGGAAAGAAAAAGAAAAUACAGAGCAUCUCAUUCUCCCCAAAAGUUUCAAAAGAGCAAGGAAGGUAUGUAUCCCCUCAAAAGAGCAAAAGUAGAAUUAGACUUUCACCAUUGUUAUCACCAUCAUUACCAUGCAUCAUUCAUUCGCCACACAUGCACAUCUUGAUUUGACUUAUUGACUUGUUUCUCUGGAUCCAUGGUUUGACUAUGCAAUAAAUGUCUUGUAAGUAUGUAUUAGCUAUCUCCCACCUAUGAGCUCCAGAUAUCAAAAGCCUUAUUAGAGUAGGGUGACUGAGAAGGCAAUGCCACUAUGCCUUAUACCACAAAUACCACAUACUUUGAGAGAAGGCAUAUACCAAUACUGCCUUGGUAAGGAUCCAGAAAUACUACAAAAGAGAGACUAGAGAGAGUCAUACAAGGAAUCUCUAAGUUUUAUUUGAAAAUCUGCAAAAUUUCCAGAGCUAUAGUUAAUCGAAGAACAAGAGACAUGGUGCUUGACUAGACCGUUCUAUCUUUUAACUGCUCAAGACACAAGUGACGGUUACAAGCCCCAUGGUGGAAGGUAAAAUGAGUAAGUUUAAAUCUUAACAGUUUACCCUAACCCAGAGAUGAGGUCUUGUUUAAACGCAUGUGUAUCUUUAAGUUAUGAAACCACUACAGAAACUCUUGAGUUCAUCUUUGCUCAGGGACGAGCAAAGGUUAAGCUUGGGUGAGCUUGUUGACGGUCCUUAAUACUCACAUUUAACCAUCAAUUAAUCAUAGAAAAGGAUCCAAAUGCAACCAACACCUAGACUUAGGGUUUUAUCUGACAGAAUUCCACGAGUUUUGGUGUUUGUCUAUUUCUGCAGGGGGUUAUCAGGAAAUACGGAAGAAAGGCCCACACGUCGGGUUUACAUAAAGAUAUUAACGUGCCGCGCAAUUUUCUACCAUCUAGAAGACUCCAGAAGCCACGAGAACAAACGGGAAGGAAAUCGGGCUCGGAGGCAGGGCGCCCGCCCAACUCUCCUGGGCGCCCGCCCAGCUACAGUGCCCAAUCAGGACACGUUUCGCGGAUUAUGCUCCACCAACGUAAAGGAUCAAGGAAAACCGUGCGAUCAAUGUCGGUUUGAUCCGACGACCCAGAUUCACUUGAAGGGACUAUAAAACCAGACCCCCUGGCCCCUGGAGAUCAUACCUCUUCUAUAGAAUCAAAGCUAGGGUUUCAAUUCUUCAUCCAAGUAGAGAGGAUCCCUCUAGUUCUUCUAGUUCUAUCUCUAGUUCAUCUAGAUCUAGUUCUAGUUCAUCUAGUUCUAGUUCUAGUUCCUCUAGUUCUAGUUCUAGUUAGUUCUAGUUGUAAUCUAGAAAAUAGGGAGAGAGAAGAGGAGAGCGGAGGAGGAGCCGGAUCUGUCGGAUCUUCCUCAACAUUGUACUUUUGCAGCAUCUGGUUCGUUCUUCAUCGUUCUCCAGGUUCUUCAACUCAUAACUCCUGAGUUCUUUUAUUACUUUUAUUUACAUUCAAGUUAUUUAUUGGAUUCCCGCUUGCAUCAAGUGCUCUAAUCUUUGAAACAUUAGAGUAGUAAUUAAUAGAUUAGACGUGGUGUUUAGUCUUGCAAUUACCUGGAAUUGCACCCAAUCCUGCGGAUUGUUGUGGUAGCCUUAGGGUAGUGAUAGCCCUAACGGUCGACGUAUUCCACCACGUUCGGAUCGGUGUUUGUAGGACCGUAGUCGGAGCUUCCUAGCCCCCUUCUCAUCUCUUUCUGUGGUUAGUGUUCUGAUGUCCCGAUAUAGAUAAUCUUGAAGUAAUUCUUGAUUCUUAGAUCAACUAGAGAACUCUCAGGAAACUUCCUCUCUUCCCACCAAAAAUAAUUAUAUAGUUAUCCUUGGGCGAUCUUGGAUCUUAAUUAGUACACUCACGUUCCCUGUGGAAAAUCGAUACUCUGGAAUACUCCCGGGUGAAGGCUACAUCGGUAUCCGUGCGCUUGCGGAUUUUUCUGUUUGCGUUUAAAAUACCCAACAGUUAUGUAGACCCUUAGGAACUUGUCAUGCGGUUAAAAUCAAGAUUCACUUGCACGUUCACUCAUACAUGGUACUUCUACUCUGGAAGUACGCAUCCACAUACAUCCACUCAUUUCCAUCUUCAGAUUCACCUAAAAUGAUUCUAUUCCUAAUCUAGAAGAGAAUAGCCAAAAACAUUCUCCUAUUUCUCUUUUCCCCGUGAAAUAAACGCUCGAGAUAUUUUGAUUACUACCACUUGCUACAUUAUUCUAGGAGGGUGAGUGCUCUGAAAGAAAAAAAAGAAAAAAAAUAAAUACGAGGAAAUAAAAAGGGGCAAGUGCCCGGAACCUCGAAGAAAAGAAAAAGUGAGACGAGAGGUAAAAAUGGACAAGUGUCCGACAGUAGAAUUAGGGUUACAAGAUACCCACCUGAGAGAAAAGAAAAAGAAAAUAUAGAGCAAUUCAUUCCCCUCAAAAAGCUUCAAGUGCAAGAAAGGUAUGUAUCUCCUCAAAAGAGCAAAAGUAGAAUUAGACUUUCACCAUUGUUAUCACCAUACACCAUUCACUCGCCACACAUGCACAUCUUGAUUUAACUUAUUGACUUGUUUCUCUGGAUCCAUGGUUUGACUAUGCAAUAAAUGUCUUAUAAGUAUGUAUUAUCUAUCUCCCACCUAUAAGCUCCAGAUAUUAAAACCUUAUUAGAGUAGGGUGAGAGAGAAGGCGAUAUCACUAUGCCUCAUACCAAAAAUACCACAUACCUUGAGAGAAGGCAUAUACUAUUACUGCCUUGGAAAGGAUCCAGAAAUACCACAAAAGAGAGAUUUGAGAGAGUCAUACAAGGAAUCUUUGAGUUUUAUUUGAAAAUCUGCAAAAACUCCAGAACUAUAGCUGAUCAAGAAUACGAGACAUGGCACUUGACUUGACCGUUCUAUCUUUUAACUGCUCAAGACACAAGAGACAGUUGCAAGCCCCAUGGUGAAAGGUAAAAUGAGUAAGUUUUAAGUCUUAACAGUUUACCCUAACCUAGAGACGAGAUCUUGUCUGAACGCAUGUGUACCUUUAAGGCAUGAAACCACUGGAAAAAAUCUUGAGUCCAUCCUUGCUCCGGGACGAGCAAUAGGUAAGCUUGGGGGAGUUGUUGACGGUCCUUAAGUACCAAAUAUAAUUAUCAAAUCAAUAAAGAAAAGGAUCCAAAUACAACCAACACCCAAACUUAGGGUUUUAUCUGACAGAAUUCCACGAGUUUUGGUGUUUGUCUAUUUCUGAAGGGGGUUAUCAGGAAAUAUGGAAGAAAGGCCCACACGUCGGGUUUACAUAGAGAUAUUAACGUGCCGCGCAAUUUUCUAUCAUCUAGAAGACUCCAGAAGGAACGGGAACGAAUAGGAAGGCGAUCGGGCCCGGGGGCAGGGCGCCCUCCCUCCCCCCUAGGGCGCCCAGCCUGUCCCAGAGUCCAAUCAGGACUCGUCUCGCGGAUUACGCUCCACCGACCUAAAGGAUCAAGGAUAACCGUUCACUUGAGGGGACUAUAUAAGCAGACCCCCUGUCCCUUAGAGGAGAACAAGUUCAUUGUAGAGUUGAGAGGUUCCCUCGAAGGAUAACCUUUCCUCUACAUAGACAGAGCAAAAGCUAGGGUUUGGAGAUGAGAGCUCUCCUCUCAUCUCUAAACUAGAGUAGAUCUAGAUAGUAGCGAGAUGGAGAGCGAGGGAGGAUUGGAGGAGAGGCCGGCCUGUCGGUUCUUCCUCCAGUUGUACUUCACCAUGAUCAAGUUCUAAUCGAGCUUGCUCAUGGGAUGACUCUAGUAAUCUACUUCUAUUUCAUUAUGCAAUUACUAUUCAUGUAUGUUCUGGUUCACAACUCUUUUGAGUACUUUUAAUCUAUAGGACCCUAUAGGUUAGAGUUGUAGUAUAGUUGUAAGCGUGCUGCUUAGACCUAGAAUACUUGUGGAUAUCCCCUGUCUAGCUGGAUCGUGUGGUAGGCCGCGUAGGUGACAGUUAUGUUGGUCCCCUGUAGUCCACCUCAUGUUAGCAGGACGGGUAGGGUUUAUCGGCCUAUGGAUAAGCAUCCUUUGUGGUGUAUUCUUAUCACGUGGUUCGUCUCAGACAUAGACAUACCCCUUUGAAGUAGAGAAACCAUAGUUAUCCUCUUUAUUCUCCUACCAUCGCCCAUAUACUAGAUUGCUCUACUCUCUAUUCCCAUAUUAUCACCCAUUGUUAUUUUACCUUUAAUAUUGUUCUUAUUCAAUUCUACCAUCUUUCCUAUUUACACUUACCCAUCUAUCUAGGUUAAGUUAGAGCGUAGAUCAGUUCUCCCGUUUCCCUGUGGAUACGAUAAAACCUUUAACCGGGUAAAAGCUACAACGGUAUCCGUGCGCUUCUGGAUUUAUCUGUGUGCGUAUAAAUACCAUAGUACACUCUAGUGCCAUGCUGGGGAUGACAACCUAGUAUUCAAGUGGGGUUAGCAAGUGUCAACACGUACCUAGUAGGUAGGUUGAAGUGGAUAUGUCCAGAACUGAUGUAGGUGUUGGCGUUGGCUGUGUAGAGGAACGGUCUUCCCAAGUGGAUCGGGGACUCAUUGUCUCCCUACAUGUCAAGAACUAGAAAAUCUACAGGUAUAUAUUGUCCUUGAAUUCUUAUUACAACAUUCUUGACCACACCUUUAGGGAACCUUAGUCAUUGGUCCGCCAUCUACAGCUGAAUACAUGUUGGGUAUAAAGGUAAAUCAAAUAACUCAUCGUAUACCUGUUUUGACAUUUGUUGACGGUCCUUAAGUACCAAAUAUAAACAUCAAAUAAAUAAAGAAAAGGAUCCAAAUGCAACCAACACCCAGACUUAGGGUUUUAUCUGAUAGAAUUCCACGAGUUUUGGUGUUUGUCUAUUUCGGUAGGGGUUACCAGGAAAUAUGGAGGAAAGGCCCACAUGUAGGGUUUACAUAGAGAUAUUAACGUGCCGCGCAAUUUUCCUCAACCUAGAAGAGUCGAGAAGCCACGGGAAUGAACGGGAGUCCGAGCGGGCCCGGGGGCAGGGCGCGCGGCCUCCCCCCUAGGGCGCCCGCCCUGCUACAGGGACCAAUCAGGUCCCGCCUCGCGGAUUAUGCUCCACCGACCUAAAGGAUUAAGGAAAACCGUGCGAUUAAGGUCGGUUUGAUCCGAUGGCCCACGUUCAUUUUGAGGGGCUAUAUAAGCAAUCCCCCUGGCCCUUGGAGGAGGACAAUCCCAUUAUUCAUUAGCAUAUUUUCCAGAGAGGAUUCAGAGAGAGAGGUCCCUCUAGGGUUCCAACCUCAUAGGGCUUAGCAUCCAAUGUGAGAUUAGAAUUAGUUCUUCUAGAUUGAGAGAGAUAGAGUGGAGGUGUAGAUCGGAGGAAGCCCGACCUGUCGGUGUCUACUCCGAGGUUGUACCUGCGGGAUCAAGGUCUCCUAACCCGAGGCUUGCUCCUAAGAUUCUUCAGUAUUUUGACUUCUAAAUUCUAGUAAGUUCUUUGUUCUUAUUGUUGUUUGGUUUAUGAGUUUACUUUAAUCUCUUCCGGUAGAGUUUAGAGUAAUCAUUGCUAGCGUAAACGUGGUGUUUGGGCUAGGGUACUCAUAGAUAUCCCCUGUCUAGCCGGGCCGUGGUAGUAGCGAGGAACGUGACAUUUAUGUAGCCACCUUUGUAGCCCACAAUCCCGUUAGCAGGAUCGGUAGGGUUUAUUGGUGCGGGUCGAACAUCCUUUGUGGUGUCUAGAUUCUGUAAGCCUCCCCAAUAGAACAGUAGAUCAUCCUUACCAAGGUUAGAACGAGAGUGCGGUUGUAGUCUUCUCUAUACAUCGCUCACAUCAAAUCACAUUGUUUGUAGCCUAAAGGGUAGUAGCAAUAGAUUUGGUUAGUCAGAUGCACACUUUCUACUAGUGGUAAAAAUAUAAAUAUGAUACUCUGGAUAACCUCCCGGGUGAAGUGCUCACCGAUAUCCGUGCGCUUGCGGAUCAUUUCCUGAUGGCGUUAACAAAUAUCAACAAGCAUUUCUGGCACCGUUGCCGGGGAGAAAGACGGUUUGCUGAGAUAACUUUGAGUCUUGCUAUUAUCUUGUAUUAUACUUUUAUUCUUUUAUCUUCUUAUUUUUUCCAUCCUUAUGGAUAACUCAAAUUCCACACCUAUUAUUGAAUUUUUUACACCUUUGGAGACCAGCCAUAGACCAUGGGAGUCAACAAGUCCUUUCUUUGCCCCUAAUUAUGAUCUGUGUCCGGAGUUGAUUGCAAUAGGUCAAAACUAACCCUUUUCUAUAGUCGAGGUCCUAUCUUUUAAUCAAGAAGAUAAUGAACUUUUAGCUACACCUAGGGAAUCUUUUAAUCUUUCUAUAAAUUCUGGUUUAGACCUAGCCCUACAAGACCAUGUUUUUCCUCGAUAUUUUCACAUUGGUCUUAAUCAUAUAACCUUUGGUAGAGUUUUUCUUUCUUUAUCUGUUAGUAAAGCAAGGUAUGUCUUCAUUCGUGGACAUCCUUCUUGCACUAGUCUUCAUAAAAAAUCCUAGAGAUAGAGAAGGAAUCAUCUCCCAGACGAGGAAAGGAAGUUUUAAUAGCUGAUUUCCAAACAUUUCAGAUAAUGAACUUUUAGCUACACCUAGGGAAUCUUUUAAUCUUUCUAUAAAUUCUGGUUUAGACCUAGCCCUACAAGACCAUGUUUUUCCUCGAUAUUUUCACAUUGGUCUUAAUCAUAUAACCUUUGGUAGAGUUUUUCUUUCUUUAUCUGUUAGUAAAGCAAGGUAUGUCUUCAUUCGUGGACAUCCUUCUUGCACUAGUCUUCAUAAAAAAUCCUAGAGAUAGAGAAGGAAUCAUCUCCCAGACGAGGAAAGGAAGUUUUAAUAGCUGAUUUCCAAACAUUUCAAUCCCAUGAUUCGGCUAUCCAACCCAAACUAGUAGUGCUCCAAAAUUAUCUAAGGGAAGAAGAAAUUCUACCUUUGGAAAUUCAUUUUGGGAUGAGCUUAAACUUCCUGCUUCAUAAGAGACCUUUGAGUGCAUAUAGUCUGAACCUUCCUAAGAAGGGAUCUCUUAGAAAGCAUCUCAAAUCCAAUCCCUUUGGUGGACAUCUAGAAAGACUCAAGGAUGGCAUCUUAAGUGAUGCAAUAGAAGGAGAGCGAAGCCAUUUAGAAGACAAUCUCAUCUUCUCCCCUUCUACGCCGACUUUUGAUGACUCAUUUGAACCUAUCUUUAAACCCAUCCUUGAGCCUAAUAAUUUCUACUAUGCUCUUUCUCUUGAACCUCCUGAUGAUCCUAUGAAUCUCUCUAGACAUCUCAUGCAUAAGAGUCACCAAGACCACAAGGAUGAUCGACAAGAGCAACAUCAAUGGCUAGAGGGCAUUAAAAAUCCAUGUGCUAUCACCAUUGAAUGGAUGGAUAAAACAAACUUGAGAGACAAUCCUAGAGGAAUUUAAAGCAUUCAUGAAGAAUCAUCCUUGCAGUUUGAGAAUGAGAGAAACAACAGUGAGCAUGGAAGUUAUUUCAUAAAUACCUCACCAAGUCCUUGCUCAUAUAAAACAUCUCCCCAAUCAAUUGGUCUCUCCAACCUUACCACAUUUGAGAUCUCCAACCCCCUCUUCCUUUCUAUUUAUAAAAACUUUAAAGGGGUGGUUAUCGAUGCAUAUGUCUAUAAUAAAUAUUGCAGAUAUCGUUGAGUCGAUCUUGAUAUAGGCACGCUUAGGUUGGUGUUGGAGGGGAAACCACUUCACCAACGUAAUUUGAUGGUUUCCCAAGGACAAGCUUAGUGUCCUAAAACAAGCACUUAUCAGAUCAUAACAUGAACUUUUAAUUAUUUGCAACAUUGCCUUGUGUAUUGAGCAUACAAAGAUAAUUGUAGAAAUAUUCCUUCGAGUAUUCGUGUCACUAACCUUUCUAGGAUUGGAGCAAGAAGAUCUGAGGAAUGACAAGCGCAAGGUAUCCCCAACCAAUCAUCAUGCAACAUUGAAUUAAAUUCAUCCAAUCUUGAAUUUUGCAAAAUUCAAGCUUGGGGGAAAUACCUUACAUAAGAACAUCCUUUGCCAUGUUGCUAUGUUGGUUGUCCCUACUUUUGAGGCAUGCUCAAUUUUUUCUAAACACUAAACUUAUUUUUCAUCUCCACCUGAGUAGAUCUCUAUAAAUGCUAUCAUGUUACCUUUGUCUAUUCACAAGCAAGUGUUGGUUUGGAAGUACUCAACAUACUUCCAUUGGCAUUUAAAUUAAGCAUGGUGCUUAGGUUAAAUAGCCUUCCUUAAUCUGAUUAGACAUGGCGUCUAGUUUGGUUACUGAAUUAAAAACUGCUUGAGUAGACAUUGGUAUAUUUUGUCGGACUAACCCCUGCAGGAAAACUUUCAAUAUCAACCUGGGAAGUCCUGAGAUACAAACUCACAUUGGAGACAAAGGAGACACGUGAAGUUUAACGAUUUGCACAAAGAAGACAUAGCUCAUUCAUCAUUGAGAGAUGAUCCAUGGAACGAGACAAAGAGUGCCACAAACACGGUGCACUACCGCUAAGAAAGGAAAGCUUCCACAAGGUGAUAAUGUACCAUCACUCUUCAAGUAAGGUAACAUCUUAAGGUACUCGACUAUUACUUUUAUAAGCUUCUCCUUGGUUCUGGCGUUCACAUGAAUAAAGAGACAAACAUAAAUUAACCAACCCAAUUAAUUCAACAUGUUUAGUCCUUUAAUCUUUGUUCUUAGUACUACCUUUGUGAUCCCACACUCCUAAUCAUAUAAGCUAAAAUGUUGCCCAUUCAAUCUUUGGAAGAUAUAAAAAACAUAAAUAUAGAUAGAUUAUCUUUCCAUUAGGUCGAGCGAUCUGAUCUGACAAAUGUUUUAAAUGCUACACUCAUGAUCUUAUUAUCCAUCAACUUUGUCUUGCUCACUAUGCUUAAGGUUAGAGAAGAACAAAUACACUUUUGGUUCUAUUGGUGUUUUUCACCAACAGGGCCCAUGCACUUGAUCUCUGUCUUGUCUCUAUGAGCAGGUACACUUCGAACAAAACCUUAAGGAGUUUUACAACUCCCAGAUUCCACCAAGUGAAGGACUUGGAUCUACGAGCACAAACACACUGAGCAGGAUGCGGCCAAUGCCGCACCUCGAACUACUGGACAAACGAAGAACAUGGGUGACACUGUAUCAAGAGGUGCAGAUGUCAAGGCCCACACCUAAUCAAAUAAUGCACCUAAAGAAUAAACACGGUGAGAAGUAUUGUCCAGAAGACUUAAAACAUUGGAUCCUUACCUGAAGGUAAAAUCGGUAUUUACCCAUAUUUAUCUUUUCUGCAUUCCUUUUCCUUUUUAUUUCAUCACUUGCAUUAGCAUAUUUACUUUUCCACAUUAGCAUUAGAAAAGAAAACAAAAAUAUUUGUUCGUUGCACUGCAUCAUAAAAUCUAAAGCCCCAUGUGAGUAGACUUAUGGUUUAAAACCCAUAGGUAUAUUGGCUGUGCUGGCAUAAAAUAAAUAUGUUUUCAUGUUACAAUAAAAAUAUAAAAAUAAUAAGUGCAUGAUCCUGCUAAAUAAAUAAAAUUUAUUAGGAGGAAUCUCAAUAUGAUAAAGGCUAAGAGAUUUUAUGCUAACACUUAACCAGUUCCACAAAGCUUUGUUAUCUAUUUGAGCUCCACAGAAUUCAAGGAUCAAAGAAGACUAGCGGCGGAGGACAUAGUAAUCGCUGUCAUGGUGCUGCCGACAUUCAAAUACACCCUCGUCACCUGCUAGCUACAUGAGAAGAAAGUAUGUCAAAAUCUAGCUUAGGGGAGAGCACCCCCAUUUAUCCAGCUAAGUGUUUCUACUCGCGUUUAUACUUUACUCAAAUAAUAAAAAGAUGCAUAAUCAUGAAAACCCAAAUAAAAAUUUUUGUGCUUAUAUAUAUCUUUGCUUAGUUUGCUAAAUAAAUAAAUAAAGUGUCUAGGCCAAACUGAACUUAAAUGAUAAACUCUUACAUGGAUAUCAUAAACAGUUGCUCUGCCAUGUACCUAGUAUUCAAGUUUGAGCUCUCUCUCAAGUUUAGGCAUAACUGUUAUAAUUUAAACCUGCUCUAAACCUGAACUUGUAGGAAGAGUACUUGAUCUAAAGUGUAAGUCAUUAACAGAAAUGAUAUGGAAUGGUUGAGCUGCUGUUUAUCUGUUCCUAGAGUUGCUAGAAUUCUGGAGAAUAUUAUCUUUGAAAAUCUUUAAAAUAUUGCAUGAUGAGUUCCUGUAUGAAAAGAGUUUAAAUUCCUACCACAGCCAUACAUACAUGCUUAUUAGACUAAGAACCAUACAUUUACUUUUUACUGCUUAUGAGCAUUGAGUGUGGUCAAGCUGUGUAGACCAUUAGGAGCUUGUCAUGCGGUUAAAAUCAAGAUUCACUUUCACGUUCACUCAUACAUGCUACUUCUACUCCAGAAGUACGCAUCCACAUACAUCCACUCAAUUCCAUCUCCAGAUUCACCUGAAAUUAUUCUACUCCUAUCCAGAAGAGAAUAGCCAAAAACUUUUUCCUACCCCUGUUAUUCCCUGUGAAAUAAAUGCUCCAGUUAUUUUGGUUACUACCACUUGCUACAUUAUUCUAGGAGGGUGAGUGCUCUAAAAAAAUGAUGAAUACGAGGAAAUAAAAAGGGGCAAGUGCUCGGAAUCUCGAAAAAAGGAAAAAUACGAGGAAAUAAAAAGGGGCAAGUGCUCGGAACCUUGAAGAAAAGAAAAAGUGAGAUGAGAGGUAAAAAUGGACAAGUGUCUGACAAUAGAAUUAGGGGUACAAGAUACCCACCUGAGAGAAAAGAAAAAGAAAAUAUAGAGCAUCUCAUUCUCCUCCAAAAGCUUCAAAGUGCAAGAAAGGUAUGUAUCCCAUUAAAAGAGCAAAAGUAGAAUUAGACUUUCACCUGUUAUCACCAUACACCAUUCAUUCGCCACACAUGCACAUCUUGAUUUGACUUAUUGACUUGUUCUUCUAGAUCCAUGGUUUGACUAUGUAAUAAAUGUCUUGUAAGUAUGUAUUAUUUGUCUCCUACCUUUGAGCUCCAGAUAUCAAAACCUUAUUAGAGUAGGGUGAGAGAGAAGGCAAUAUCACUAUGCCUCAUACCAAAAAUAUCACAUACUUUGAGAGAAGGCAUAUACCAUUACUGCCUUAGUAAGGAUCCAGAAAUACCACAAAAGAGAUAUUUGAGAGAGUCAUACAAGGAAUCUCUGAGUUUUAUUUGAAAAUCUGCAAAAACUCCAGAGCUAUAGUUAAUCAAAGAACAAGAGAUAUGGCGCUUGACUAGACUGUUCUAUCUUUUAACUGCUCAAGACACAAGUGACGGUUGCAAGCCCC
rnacentral:lncRNA from 1 species